UCCUCGUUAGUAUAGUGGUCAGUAUCCCCGCCUGUCACGCGGGAGACCCGGGGUUCAAUUCCCCGACGGGGAG
rnacentral:tRNA from 1 species